rnacentral:rRNA from 1 species
UGUAAGCGUAUACCAAAGUUGUUGCAGUUAAAACGCUCGUAGUCGGAAUUUGGCAGUUCCGGAAGUGUGCACGUCGUGUGCGCACUUUGCGGGGACUGCUUUUGUGGUCUUGCGUAGGAUGAGGCACUUUCAUUAGUGAACGUCCUCACGCAACCACUCUUUACUGUGAGAAAAUCAGAGUGCUCAAAGCAGGCAUUUGCCGUGAAUGUAUUAGCAUGGAAUAAUAGAAUAGGACUCGGUCCUAUUUUGUUGGUUUGUUGGGACUGAGUAAUGAUUAAGAGGGACAGUUGGGGGCAUUUGUAUUCCGGCGCUAGAGGUGAAAUUCUUAGAUUGCCGGAAGACAAACUGCUGCGAAAGCGUCUGCCAAGGAUGUUUUCAUUGA